rnacentral:rRNA from 1 species
GAGUUUGAUCCUGGCUCAGGAUGAACGCUGGCGGCGUGCUUAACACAUGCAAGUCGAACGAAGCACUUUAUUUGAUUUCCUUCGGGACUGAUUAUUUUGUGACUGAGUGGCGGACGGGUGAGUAACGCGUGGGUAACCUGCCUUGUACAGGGGGAUAACAGUUGGAAACGGCUGCUAAUACCGCAUAAGCGCACAGCAUCGCAUGAUGCAGUGUGAAAAACUCCGGUGGUAUGAGAUGGACCCGCGUCUGAUUAGGUGGUUGGUGGGGUAACGGCCUACCAAGCCGACGAUCAGUAGCCGACCUGAGAGGGUGACCGGCCACAUUGGGACUGAGACACGGCCCAAACUCCUACGGGAGGCAGCAGUGGGGAAUAUUGCACAAUGGGGGAAACCCUGAUGCAGCGACGCCGCGUGAGCGAUGAAGUAUUUCGGUAUGUAAAGCUCUAUCAGCAGGGGAGAAAAUGACGGUACCUGACUAAGAAGCACCGGCUAAAUACGUGCCAGCAGCCGCGGUAAUUC